rnacentral:rRNA from 1 species
CAGUCGCCGCGGUAAUACGUAGGGUGCGAGCGUUAAUUGGAAUUACUGGGCGUAAAGCGUGCGCAGGCGGUUAUAUAAGACAGAUGUGAAAUCCCCGGGCUCAACCUGGGACCUGCAUUUGUGACUGUAUAGCUAGAGUACGCUAGAGGGGGAUGGAAUUCCGCGUGUAGCAGUGAAAUGCGUAGAUAUGCGGAGGAACACCGAUGGCGAAGGCAAUCCCCUGGACCUGUACUGACGCUCAUGCAUGAAAGCGUGGGGAGCAAACAGAAUUAGAUACCCCUGUAGUCCCUGUCUCUUAUAC